GGGGGGGGGGGGGGGCGGGCCUAACGGAUGCGGGUCGAGCGGAGGAAGGGGGCUUGCUCCUGGAUUCAGCGGCGGACGGGUGAGUAAUGCCUAGGAAUCUGCCUGGUAGUGGGGGAUAACGUCCGGAAACGGGCGCUAAUACCGCAUACGUCCUGCGGGAGAAAGUGGGGGAUCUUCGGACCUCACGCUAUCAGAUGAGCCUAGGUCGGAUUAGCUAGUUGGUGGGGUAAAGGCCUACCAAGGCGACGAUCCGUAACUGGUCUGAGAGGAUGAUCAGUCACACUGGAACUGAGACACGGUCCAGACUCCUACGGGAGGCAGCAGUGGGGAAUAUUGGACAAUGGGCGAAAGCCUGAUCCAGCCAUGCCGCGUGUGUGAAGAAGGUCUUCGGAUUGUAAAGCACUUUAAGUUGGGAGGAAGGGCAGUAAGUUAAUACCUUGCUGUUUUGACGUUACCAACAGAAUAAGCACCGGCUAACUUCGUG
rnacentral:rRNA from 1 species